ACGUAAAGCUCAUGUUAUUAUUGCUGCAAGAAACAUGGCAGCUGCAAAUGAAGCAAAACAGCUUAUUCUAAAAGAAGAUGACACUGCUCGUGUUGAUACUCUGAAACUUGAUCUUUCCUCUAUUGCUUCUAUUAAAGAUUUUGCUCAGAACUUCAUUGCUCUUAAUCUUCCCCUCAACAUCUUAAUGUAAUUUUACUCGCCCCCUCUUUCUCGAAAUAUUACAUAACUAUCUACUGAUGUUUCCGAGAAACAAUAAAAGCAUACUAUAACAUGCAAAAAUUAAUUUAAUGCAGAAACAAUGCUGGAAUCAUGUUCUGUCCCUACCAGAUUUCUGAAGAUGGAAUAGAGAUGCAAUUUGCAACAAAUCAUAUUGGUGAAUACUUUAAUUUGAAGCUGUAUUGGUUGUUAUUAAUUAACUAGCUAAAUUAGUAUUCAAACUUUAAAUAUUACUUUUGCAGGGCAUUUUCUUUUAACAAAUUUGCUUCUGGACACAAUGAAUCGCACGGCUAAAGAAACGGGUAUUGAGGGCAGGAUAGUGAAUCUAUCAUCAAUAGCCCACCAAUACACAUACAAAGGUGGGAUUCGGUUUCAGAAGAUCAAUGACAGGGCCGGGUAUGUUUUGAUCAUAUAAUAAUAAUUAAUCAACUAAAAAUUUCUUCUCAUGUACGUCAUAAAUUUUGAUUCAGUUACUCUGACAAAAAGGCUUACGGGCAAUCUAAAUUAGCUAACAUAUUACACGCCAAUGAGCUCUCGCGACGAUUUCAGGUAAUCGCAGUAAAUGAUUUGAUGAUCAUUUUUGUUUCCUGAGUUAAGCCCUGCUUGGUUUUGAAGUUGGGUUUGGAAGCUAAAAUAAUUUGAUCCAUGAAAAGUUAUUAUUUAAAAGUCACAUUCACUAUACACCAUUAACUUUUAUUUCGUAGUUGUAGUUUUAUCUUAUAAAUUACAGUAUUUCAAUACCACUCGGACCUUAGUAGCCCAUGAACAUUCGUCACAUGAUAAUUUUACUAACUUGGUUACAGGAAGAGGGAGUGAAUAUCACAGCAAAUUCAGUUCAUCCGGGGCUAAUAAUGACGAAUCUUUUCAAGCAUUCUGCUGUUGUGAUGAGUAUGUUCUAUCAUAUAUAAUCCCAGAAAGUAAAAACAAGCCGCGUUAAGAUGUUUGUUUUCUUACUAUCUUUAUUUGUGCAGGAUUUUUGAAAUUUUUCUCAUUCUUCCUGUGGAAAAAUGUACCUCAGGUACUUAAUUUCCUAAGAGCUCAUUGAAAUUUGUCGGUUGAUUAUUAACUAACUAACGUUACCUUUGAAACUAAUGGCUCCAGGGGGCAGCCACAACGUGCUAUGUAGCUCUACAUCCAAAUCUGAAAGGCGUAACCGGAAAAUAUUUCCUGGACUGCAAUGAGAUGCCGCCAAGUGCACUUGCUAGAGAUGAAACGCUGGCAAAAAAACUGUGGGACUUCAGCAACAAAAUGAUUAACUCGGCUUCAAAAACCUCAGCAUAAGGUUAUUGCAAUACUACAGACUUACUACGAGUGAAAUUAGAGACUCAAGUGCUGGUUACUUCUAGUAUUUAUAUAUGGAAUCGAUUGGAAUGGAAGGGGGUGUCGUGUGAAUGAAUUGCUUAGUUAUGUAUGGAAGCAUAAGUGGCUUUGAGAAAUUGAUUGAUAUCAAUCGCAUAAACGUGUUGCUUGUAAUCGACGAUAGUCACAGUCUAUGUACCCACAUUUUGCUUCUCCUCUACGGCACCCAUAGCGUGUACUGAUGAUCAGAAAAGUCAAUAAAAUAAUUAUCUGACGGUGCAAGCAAAUACAGGCCAUCGGAAUGGCGUGGUCACGACGUUAAAUCAGCUUCUGUUUAUCAAAUCACUUAUUUUAUGAUUCCAGACAUACCCUUUAUAACGUAAAAUGCAAGUGUUUGAUUAUUUUGUAGCAACGUCCUAUUUCGUUAUAAUAAAAUCAAAUUCAUGUCGUAAGAAAUGAUGUAUCAUGUACAAGCUUCUUUUUUUUCUUUUAAUUUUUUUUCUUUCAACAAAAUUAAUUGUUUACGACGAAAUUGCACGUGGCUGCUAUCGAAGGUGGAAAUUAAAUUUAUAAAAAAAAAAAAAAAAGAACCUAAAACUUACUCAUCAAAGAGUCAAGAGGAGUCGUCGUUCUCAAACAAGCCUAACGCUCGGACCGCCCAAGCGGACCCAGCCACGACAACGGCCGCAAAAACCGGAGGGACAAGCAAGUCAAUUUUGGAUCUCCUAAACAGGUGGGCCGGCAGGCAGAGUAUCUCUCCCGGCAGGUCCAACGGAACCCUGACGGCAACGGACGCAUCACCGGCAGCGCCCUCGCACUCUUUCGAAAAUGAAGACGAGGGAGAUAUCGACCACACAAACGUGACCUCAGGCCAAAACGACGCCGCGGCGACGGUUGCGGUCAGGAGAGCCGUCCACGCGGCAGCGUAGAGGAAGAGGGGCCACCGUGAUGUGAUCUUGUGAAACAGGGAAGUAAAGAAAGAUAGAGACAUCGUCAUUUGUUGUCCAAUCCGAAAAAAAACCAAAACGUUAAGGGGGGCGGCUUUAAAUGAAAAAACAAAGGGGAGUGGAAGGGGACCUAAUCUUCAACUACUGGUUGAGUGAUAUAAUAAUGUGGCUUGACUGAUGAGCCGUGGAAUGACGUGAGUGUCGUUGCUCACCUGCUAGUUGCUUCAACGACUCUCUGACCGGUAGCAGGGGGCAUUGGGACACGUGUCGUUUUGUUAACAGUUGGCGUUUCAGAUAGCUGUUAGGGGAGUUACAGCCUACGUGGUAGAUUGCAAAGAGUAAUGAAUCUAAUGAUAAACAGUUAAACACAUUGCAAAACUUUAGCUGGCAUGUAGUAAAUUAAUUUUUUAAAUAAUUUUAAAGUAAAUUAAUCAUAUUAUUCCACCGUACAAUAAAUAUGGAGAGAAAAUUUUAAGAUAUAUACAACAAGUCAGAUUACAAAUUAACUAACAUUUUUAUAUGCAUUAAUUAAUGGACUAAUUAUAAGCAUAUAAAUUUUAUGCUAGAUAAUGUACUACAAAUACAGAACUCUCUCUAAUGAGAUUGUUUCAAUUUUUAUCUUGAUGUCAUUAUCAUUAUUUUAAUGAUUGGUAAAUAUAGCAGCAUGGAAAAAAUAUAGGGCCAAUAUGAGAUAGCGGUGGUUGGUGAAAUAAACUGCUUUUACUGUACGGAUAAAAAAGACAAUUGAUUAAAAAAUUAGUUUAGUAUUUGAUAAACUAUGCUAUUAUGAGUUUAAAAAACAAAGUAUAUGUAUUUGGUAAGUUUUAUUAUAAAAGUGUUGUUUUAUUAUAUAAUAACCAAAAGAAACAUAAAUUUAAAUUGCCUCUUAUUUUUUAGAGUGUGUUUAAUAAAUUGAGUCAAAAUGCCCUUUUUCUUUUUAAAACACAUAAAAUUACAUAAAGUGAAAAACUCAAUUUAAUAAAAUCUAAUGAAUUUCCUAAUUUAUUACAUAAAAUAUAACAAAAUUCAUGCUAAUACAAAAUCAAAAUAAAAUAUAAAGUAACAUGCAUUACGUUCACCCUAAACUUGUCACAAUAAUAAUCCUCAAAUUUUUAAUUUAAUAAGUUCCUUAUGAAAAGCAAUCUCUUAUCUGUUUUUAAAAACGGUUGUCAAAAUAAAGAAAAUUAUAAAAUAAGCAGUCUUUACAAAGUCUAUCAAACACUAUUUUUUAAAAAAAUUAUAAAAUAAACCGUUUAUUGAAUUUUAACCUUAAUCCCAAAUCAGACUUUUUUUUUCUUAAUUACAUAAGACUAUUACUCGAAUUAUGACUCAUAUUAUAUGAGAAUAAUGCUAAUAUAUUUAUAAUUAGACAAUUACUAUUGCUAGUUUUAUAUUAUUAAAUAUUAUAUAGUACUUUUAUAUCUUAACAUUCUCUAAUAUUCGAGAGAUAUUUAUACUAUUCACAUUUCAAAAAAGAAAAAAUUAUUUUCACUCAAUUAUUUUUCAUAAUUGAAGAAAGAAUUAAGCAUUGUGGGGCUCGAACAACUGAAUGACUCUGCCGCACCAUAUAAAUUUUAAGCUCAAUCUCAAAUGGAACUUUAAUCUCAAUGGAAUGACGAUUUAAGAUUUGAAUUGAAGGGUCACAUGUGCAAUUAAUGUUGUUCCUUUUUUCUUUUUUUAAAUGUUAUGCUUGUAACGGUAGCUGCGAUACUAGAACAAUGCAAAAUUCCUCUUUGAAAUGAUACUGAAACACAACCGUUACAAAAAGACUCGUUAGUUCCUUUUCUAAGUUUUCAGAUAUUUUUUUAAUAUUCUGUUUUCCUAAUUCUGAAAAGGAAUUCAGGUGCAGUCCAGCCAGACUUCAGUUGAAACCUCAGGGAUAUUCGGGGGCUUGAAUUUGAUGCCUACAAAAGGAAGAGAUAUUCACAUUGGUGAUUGGAGAAACAGGUUCCAGCUAGCCACUGCAAUUUGAUGAAAGCAUAUUUCCCAUAUGUAUGAUCCAAUCACCAUGGAUUUUCAAGCUGUAAUUUACUUGAUGAAAAUUUUACAGAAACCAGAUUUGUGAUUGAACUGAUUUUACACGCAGAGCCAGAGAUACAAUCAGCGCAGAACUGAUUUUACUUGAUGAAAGUUUAUCACAUGAAUUCUCAUGGCAACAUUGAUUUCAUAAUUUCAUAUUGGCUUGCUAAAUUAUCACGAACUGGGGGAGUAGAAUGCUUUCUCUACCUGAAUGGUAAGAAACAGAAUGCCAACCAAUGCGACACAGAUACCCACAACCAUAACAAUCAGCAUUGCCUGCAAUGAGAUAUAUGGACCGAUAAAGAAGACAACCGCAAUUGAAGCACACUGCCAGACCUUGAGCUGUGCAAAUGCACCUUCCUGUUCCCAGAAGCAAUCUCUCUCAUAAUUAGAUAUUGAAAUCACAAUAACAAGAACUUAUAGGAGAGAUUACAAAUUAAAUAAAAAGAAAACAAUGAACUAAUUUAGGCUUCUUUUACUAAUCAGAAUAAAAAGAAUCAUGUAUAAACUUAACCGUAAUCUGUUAAGUGAGGAUGCCAACCAAUAUAGUAGCUAAUUGGCUAAUUUAUAACACAAAAGAAAAGUCUCUCCUCCAUCUUGCAAGAAUUCUAGACCUAUAUACAAACCACCAUCUAAUACAGUAGGUGGAAUUUUCAUUUUUUUACAUUUUUUUUCCCUUUAUGAUUAGAUAUGGAAAAAUAUGAACCUAAUAGAACAAGAUUUGCCAGGUAAAAUAAAAUAAGCAAGUUUGAUGCAGGAUAUUGCUGAUAUGACUAGUUUCAUCAUUGCCAUUUUAUCCUUGGGUGUUCCUGAAGAAUAUGAGGUAGACUGACUUACUAAAGGGAAAUUCAUAUUCAUAGUCACCUACCAAACAAAUAUUUGUCUAAUUAAAGUAGGAUUAGCUGUUACCGUAUCAUGCUUAAAGAGUAUCCCAAGCAAAGCACUAAGCUGUGUAUUGAGCACUCCAUCACCAAUGCCCAACAAAGCUGCCAUGAUAAGUGGAUAUAGAGUGCCAAGUACUCCACUAGUUACACUAUAGGAAGACAGUGAAUCAAGGAGAUGGAAAAAUAUUAAUACCUUCAAGCUCACACUACUACAAAACAUUCAAUUUCUGAAAAACUUCAAUGUAACAGAAGUACACAACACUAACCUGUAAUUUAUCAGAAUCCAGAGAAAUACAACCACCUGAGCAAUAGCUCCACCAGAAACUAUAAAAGUGAUAGAUGGAAGACCAGUGGUAAGCCGACCAGCAGCGAGUGAACACUGAAAAAAGUGGCGAAACCAAGCAGAGACUGAAUCCAAUUAAUGGAUAUUUAUUUGCCAAAUUGAUCCAAUUAAUGGAUAUUUAUUUGCCAAAUUGACUCAAACAGAAAUGCAAACAGCACUUCAGCAUAAACCUUAAAUUACUAGCAAUAUACAGCCAAUGCAAGUAUGACAAUACUCAGCUUUCCCAAAGACAGAAUCUUGGAACAAUUGCUUCGAGCAUCAAGACCCUAUAUUUUGUGAUUAAAAUAUAUUUUCACCGUGAAUCAAUUGGUUGCAGGUAAAUGUUUGUGAUUGCAAGAGCACUCAAGACAGUGUUCUGAAGAUACGAUGACCAAAACAACAGCAUAUAGCACAGCGCAGGGCAUAAACAAUUGGCAAUGAGAAAAAGAUUCCUUUGGAACACAAAAAUUGCAAAGCUGUUCAUUACAUGAAAUCGUUGAUUUCUGCAGUCUCAUACUUACUAUUGCAUCAAAAGCUCCAUAAACUGCCAUCGCACCACCUACACCAGAAACACCAAGUGCUGGAGUUACGAUCUCCUUUGUAAAUUCAGCCCUACAAAAGAAAACAUAGUGCGCUUAUUGGACAAAUUAAAUUAGAUAAUUGAACUAUAAAGAAUAAAAAUGUUAAUGGAAAGGCAAUACAAAGAACAGAUAUGCAGUUCUACUGAUUAUUACCAUACAAAUGCUUGCUGUAAUCCUGAAUAUGCAAAAAGGGGAAUGAUCAGUAGCAUCCGUACGUCUGCCAGAAGAGUGGUAAUUGACUUCGAUAAAGACACUAAGUACGAAUAGAAAUUUACAGAAGCAUCUGCUGUUUCCUUUUCUCCUUUAUCUUCCUCUUUACGUAAGAAGCACAUAAGUAUAGUGCCCAAUGUGAUAACGCCAAGAAACACAAUGAACAAUAAAGUGGUGCCACUGGUGCUUCCCCCCUGCAGUAUGUAAUAGAAAAUUAAUAGGAAGCAGUUUACAAAGGAAAUAAAUAAGUUGCAAUGGCAGGCUUAAAAAGUUAAUCAUCUAGCAAAUUAUGUGCCAGAAUGUCUGUCUAAAUUAAACAUGUUCCUGAAUCAGUCUUGAUUGAGAAGGUCAGAUCUGUAACAAACAUCACAACUGUACACAUAAUUAUGUUCAAAUUCUAACAUGAAUUUCCUCUAUGUUACUCAGAAUAUAAUCUUCUUAUUGUCCAAAACCAAAAGCUUAACUAGAAGGGCAGCACAUACCUUAUCGUCUUUGAGCACCGCAAGUGUGAUAAGAUUUCCAACAAACUGCCAAAAUUGGGAGGAAAAUGGUAUUCAACAUUGAGAACAGCGACGACAACAUAAAAAUCAUCAAUUAAAGAAAAUGCAUUUUGACUGAAAGAGCACCUGGUGGCUGGCAAACAUUCCCCAAAAUUCUCCAUUGAAGCUGCCAAUCACGGUUCCUUCAUGCAACUUGUGAUUGCUUGCAUGACUGAGUGCAGCGGAAGUGAGAUAUGUUCCCUAAUAGACCAUAACAAAUUUCUAUGACUUUAGUAACUUCAUAGAUAAUUCCCAUUUGAAAAUAUUAUUAAAUAAGAGAAUCCAAAAACAGCAUCCACACCUCUCCAACCCAUAUUAUAGAAGCAGCAAAUCCAAGAUACAACGAUGCCGGCACCAUAGUGUACCUACAGAAAAAAAAUAAAUAAAUAAAGUUUUAAUUUUUUUUUUGGGGGGGGGGGGACUGGGAAGUAAAAGUGAGUGUUUAACUAAACUUAUUAGCUGGUGUGGUUUCAAAGUUAAGCAGAAGCACAACAGUUACGAACAUUGUCCUAAAUAACAUUUUAACUACAACAAAAUUUAAUCAAACGAUUAGGAUUCAUUGCUCAGUAGGGCAGAGGUCAGCUCAGUAUUAGAUCCAAAUUCUAAAUUGAAACAUAGACGUGAGGUGAGUGCACAGUACCACGAAGGGAACAAAUUGGCAGCCACGAAUAGCCAAUACCCAGUAGUCCCAAGGAUCAGAGCGUUCUUGGAACCCAACACUCGAACCACCAAUGAAGCAACUAGAGAGAAACACGUGAACGACGUGUACAAUAUCCCAAGCGAAAUCGUUCCCAAGUUCCCCUCCUGCAACAAAUAAAAAAUCAAUUUGUAAGCUCAAAAACUAGAACGCGUCCAGGGGCAGGGGCAGCUACUCAACGGUAUUAACAGUAGUCUCUAAAUUCUGAGCAGCUCCAUAAGCGAGAAAAAUCAAAAGAAACGCGCAGCUGAGGAUGUGAACAUCACGCGUGUAGUUCUUUGGAGUAAGAACUUGCAAGCUAUCAGCAACAAGAGGUGCUUCUUCAUCGCGAGAAUCUACGGACUCCAUUUUUUUUUCUUUUUUCCCCCCCUUUUUUUUUCGCUUGGAGUUUCGAGAUCAAUCUGAUGGUGAAAUCGCUACAUAAUAUAUACGAGAAGCGAGUGAAGGUAGUACAAACGAGUGGGACCAAAAACACGGCGAGUGCCGGCUAGAAUCUUGUGUACUACAAGACAUGUAAAAGAGUUUUGGUUCAGCUAUAAAAUAAGUUCAUCGGAUUUUUAAAUGUUGUUGUUUUUGAUAUUUGGAAGGAUUAUUUGGGAAUCAAACGGAGGAGGGAGGGACGCUUUGAAAUAAUCGAAGCGUGGAAAGUGUUUUUAAGAGUAACAACCGACGGUUAAGAAAACGACGGCAGAGUGGAUGGUCGUUUUUUUUUAUUUUAAAUGUAAAUAUUUAUAUUAAAAUAAAUUAUGAAUUAUUGUUUCUUUUGGUAGCCAUGAUAUUUUCUUGAAUCUCUUGAUUCUGGAAUCUGAUUUGCCCCUCGUUGAAACCAAGCGCUACGCAAUUGAUUCCUUUGAUAUAUAUAUAUAUUUUUGGUCAUUUUCAAAGAUUUAUGGCCGUUCUAUGAUCAUAUAAUAAUAAUAGUUUAAUUUCCAAGUUCGAAGUUAUUUUAUUUCAUUAUUUGGUGAAGGCCAACCUGACAAUGUUGACCUGAAAUAUAUAUAUAUAUUAUAAUUUUAUUUUAUUAUAUAUAUAUUUAACUAUCAUAAAAUUUUAAUAUAUUUUGUACACCACUUUUAUUUUUAAACUUGUAUCAUUUAACCACUUAACACUAAGAAAUUAAAUAAAAUAAUUAUUUUAUCCUACAUGAAUUAAAAGAUCAUUUUAUCCUACAAAAUUUUUAAAAAUAAAAAAUUAUAAUAACAAGAAUACCUUUAAAUUUAAGAUAAAUAUAAAAAAUUCAUGAUGGUAAUUUUUAUAAUUAUAAUUUUUAAAUGAUAACUUUUGAAAUGAUUUUUUUUAUUAUUCAAAGUUGGUUUAGACUAUUAUUACUUUGGUGAUUAAUUUAAACAAUGAAAAUCGAUUGAUAAUUGUGAUUGUAUGAUUGAUUAAAUAGAAAAAAUAUAUAUUUGAGAUGAGUAUCACGCGUUUUUAAAGUCAAAAGGAUUAAAAAAUAUAUAUUAUCAAUUAAUUAAAUGGUACUCACACACCCAGUUUUUGAAGAUAUUUUAUCAACUAAUUAAAUGGUAGUUAUAAUUUUUUAUUUUCAAAAUUUUAAAGGAUAAAUAUUUUUUAAUUCAUUUAAGAAUAAAAUGAUUAUUUUAUUUAGAUUAUUGGUGUUAAAGUAAUUAAUUGAUACAAGUUUAAAAAUAAAAAUAGUACAAAAAAUGUUAAAAUUUUGUGAUAAUUAAAUAUAUAUAUAUGACAAAAUAGAGGUGGUAUAAAAAUAAUUUUCUAAAUGAAAAAUGUGAAUGAAUAUGAAUGAGUGCAUAUGAUGAGGGUAUCUCCAAUCAAAUUAUGUGGUUACAUUUUUUUUCCCCCAUUUUUUGAAGGGUCAAAUUAGUACAGACAUAAAUUUGACUUUUACUGAAAUAAAAUUUAAUUUAAAAAGAACAUGAUGCCUCCCUGAUUUCAGGAUUUUUUACCUAAUCAAGAAUGGUGAUUUAAAAGCUAUGAUUCAUGGUCAAGCCUGCCAAUUAUAUCAAUAAAUCUAAUAAGCCAAAUAGCCGAUCUUACAUUUCUAGAGAUUGGAAAAUUGACAUCAGUAACAGAAAUUGGAUACAGAAGUAAAUACCGCUCUGAGCUUAAAGCCAGAAAUAUAAACAACACCAACACUACCACGGUGUGCAGGUCAUGCCCCGAGCACCAAUUGAGCAAACUCAAAUUUUUUUUCAUUUCUUUCAUUAUGUCUGCUCUGCAUCAACAUCCCGAGAGUUCUCUUUGAGAAAACGUUCAAUACCAAACUUCAUAUAAGCAACGAGGGAGGAAAAUAUGUGGCUUCUGUCCACUAGUAAGUCAGUCAAUACUAAAAAUAUUUUGAUCUUGACCGGAAAGUUUUUCUGGGCAUCCGACUAUCCAAGAUGUCACCAAAAGUGGCCAAUGCAUCUUGAAACUUCCGGAUUUUGAGAAAUCCCCUUACCAUUGAAGUUUCUCGGUCUGAGAAUUUUGCUUUAUCCAUGACCAUAUCAAUAAGCUCAACCAAAGUUUCCUCCUUCCCUAAAGAAACAAGUCCUUCAGCCAACAUGUAGAAUGAUGAGAACUCUGGGAGAAAUCCUCUCUCUAACAUCUCUAUCACAAAAUCAACGGCUUCUCCAAUUGGUCCUCCACCAUUACAGAGCCCACGGAAAACAUGCUUGUAGGUAAGAGCAUCUGGAGGAUCAGCCUUCUCCAUCAUUUCUCGGAAAAGCCUCAUAGCUUCAGUUGUUCUUUUUCGUCUAAAGAGAGCUUGAAUCACAGGGUUAUAAGCUUGUGGAGUCAAAACAAUUCCUUUCAUCUGAAUUGACCUCAAGAGUUUACUUGCAACCUCAACUCUACCAGCCUUACACAGCCCCCCAAUUAAGGUUCCAUACGUAACAAUAUCUGGUUCACACCCAUUUGAAGUCAUAUUUUGGACAAUAUCUGCAGCCCUUUUUAUGUCGCCCGCCCGACAGUAGUAGGUAAGAAUGGAAUUGUAGGUAAAUUUAUCAGGUUUUAACCCUUCCAUUAUCAUCUGGUCCAUAAGCUGAGCAGCAUCUUCCACCCUCCUGCUCUUACAAAGACCAUCGAUAAGGGUGUUGUAGGUCACAGAAUUUCGUGAAAUCCCUUGGAUUUCCAUCUCAUCAAAGAUCUCCUCUGCUUCUUCAAUUCUUUUGAGUUUGCAAAACCCAUCAAUCAAAGUAUUAUAUGUCACCACAUUCCUUGCGCAGCCACUUGAUUCCAUUUCUUUUAACAGUUUUAGAGCUUCCUCCAGCAUCCCUCUAGAACAAAGGCUGUCUAUCAACAUAUUGUAAGUAAAUUCAUCAGGUUGGCACCCUUUAGUCUUCAUCUCCUGAAACAAUUCCAUUGCUACAUCAAAAUUACUAGUCAAGCAGAGACCUUGUAUCAGGGAAUUGAAUGUACAAACAUCAGGCAAAAUUCCCUUGCUUGUGAGGACACGAGCAAGUUCCGUAGCUUCUUCAACUUGGUUCUCCUUGCACAAGGUGCUAAUCAGAGUAUUAUAAGUAAUGGUAUUAGGCGAACAAUCCCUCAAAAUCAUCUGAUUGAGAAUCUCCACAGCCUCCUCAACUUCACCCAAUUUACACAAUCCAGAAAUCAAAGAAUUAUAUGUAAAAACAUCAGGAUCAAGCCCCUCUUGAAGCAUCAUGUCCAUGACCUCCAACGCUUGCUUGACAUGUCCCACUUUGCACAAACCAUUCACCAAAGUAUUGUACGUAAACUGAUCAGGAUUAAAUCCUUCACUCACCAUCUCUUGUAUAAAACUUAAUGCAUCCUCAAUCCUUCCCUUUUUACAAAACCCAUGAACUAAAACAUUAACAGUCACAUUAGUAACCAGGCAUCCGUGCUCCACCAUUUGCUCUCUAAUCCUCAACGCACCAUCCAAGUUACCUUCCUCAAUCAACCCUUGCAUUAACGUCGUAAACGUUCUCUCAUCUGGUGCCAAACCAUAGCCAGGCAUCUCUUCCAUCAUCAAAAUAGCAGGCCUAAUUUGAUGAGCCUUACAUAAAGCCUUAAUCAAUAUAUUAAACGUAGAAACAUCAGGCUUAAUCCCUCUACUAACCAUAUCAGCAUGAGCAGUUUCAACUAAUUUUAACUUAUUCCCAUCAACAAGAACAUUCAACAAGUGAUUAUAAAAGUGGGUGUUGGGUUCCAAUCCAAAAUCGUCCUUCAUCAACUGGGUUACUUCUAAAAUCUCAUCGUACAUGUCAAAUUUAGCAUAACUUUCUACGAAAAUCAAGAAAGUACCUGUACGAAUUUGACAGCCGGAGAGUUUCAUAUCUUCUAAAAUGCGUCUCAUGGAAUCAAAAGCGCCGACCUUUCCGAGUUUGGUCAGUAGUUCUUCGUAGAGAGAGGAAUUGGGUGCGAAAUUGGGCUGCUUAGAGGCCCAAGUGAACAAGCGGAGUGCUGAGGACUCGUCGCGUUGGCGACGGAGAGCGUCGAGGAGUUGAGUAGAAGUGAAAUUGGAAGGGAGUUGACGAGAGAAAGUGGAAGAUGAAGAUGAUUGUGAGGUGAGUUGCCGAUGGUCGUGGUGUUGUGUGGAGGCAAAAGAAAUGGUGGUGGGUUUGGAAGAGAAAGGGAGGAAGGGUUGUCGUGGGAGAGGCCAAGGGUGACUCUUGAGACACGAAGAGAAUGACAUUUCGGGGGAUUUGACGGAGAUUGAACAUGAAAAUUUGGAAAAGAAAGUUUCUUUCUUUCAGGAAUGAGCUAGUGAGCUGCAGCUGGAGUGAAAAGAACUGGAUUUUCCUUCUUUUUUUCUUUUUUCUUUUUUCUUUUUUUUUGGUUCCCUUCAAGGUCGUACGUUUCCGGGCGUUUUUCUGCCAAUUGCAUAAACCAAUCCUGAAUCCUUAACUAGGGUGGGCAAACCCAAUCCAAUCCAAUUGAUUCAACCCAAUUUAACCCAAUUUAAUUUAAUUUUGACGGAUUGAGUAAAUUAUUAUAGAUUAAUUAGGUCAAUUUUUUUAAACUCAAUCAACAAUUAAGUUAGGUUGAAUCAAUUAUGAUGAACUCAUGUAACCAAACCCAACCCACAUAAAUAAUAAUAAGAAGAAGAAUAAGAUAAUUUUUAAUUACAAAAUCUUAAAAAUUGAAACAGUUAAUCUAUACUUUUAUCAUUUUUUUAUUUUUUUUUUUAUAAAAGAGAUUAUUUUGUUCUUGUAUUUCCUGACUCUAAUUCUAAAACUAAAAUCACUCUCUCAAAUCUAGGGAUGGCAAUGGGGUGGGGUGGGGGUGGAGAGGCCUACCUCAUUCCCCCACCCCGUUAGAAAUUUUUACCUCCAUUUCCCACCCCAUUCCUCAAUAAAUUUAGUGGGGUGGGGAUAGAGAAUCCCCAUGUGGGGAAUGAUUUCCCCAUCCCCACUCCAUUCCCCAUUUAUCUAUUUUAUAAUAUGUAUAAAUAUAUUAUUUUAGUAAGUUAAAAAUUAGAGACUUAAAAUAAAAUUAUCAUCAUAUUAUAAAAUAUUUAAAUUCUUUUAAAAAAAUAUCUAAAAAUUUGAAACAAUAUCUUAAAAUGAUAUUAAAAGUGAAAAAUAUUUAAAGAGCGUAGCACCUUAAAAGAGAAAAGAAAAUAUAACAAUGUUUCAGAGUUGAAAAAUAUUAUAGGAUUUUCUUUCAUUCAUAUCUUGUUUAUAUUGCAUAAAAAUUAAAAAAAAAUUAUUAAUUGACAUUAUAAUUGAUAAAAUAAAAAUUAUUAAAUAAGAAUUAAAAACAUAUUUAUAUAUAAUGGGGAUUGGGGUGGGGAGUACAAAACCAAACCCAACCCCAUUAAGAAUUUGGGAAUUAUUUUCCCCCACUCCCCACCCCAUUCCCCCAAAAAUUAUUCAAAAUUUUCCCCAUUUUGGGUGGGGCUCCAUAGGGCCCCAAACUCGUGGAAAAUUUUGCCAUCCCUACUCAAAUCUCAAUUCUCAAUCAAUUAAGAUACUUUUCGAUUUUGUUCAUUCUAUAUUCUUUUAAUUUUCUUUAUCAAAUAUUAGAUAGUGAAUAGAAUUUUCAUAAUAUAAUAUUUUUAUAUUAGAUUUCAAUAAGUUUUAUUUCAACUUUCAUAUAUUUUUAAUAUUAAUUUGACUUCAAAUCUUCAACCCAACCCAACCCAAUCCGUAAAUUAUCGGGGUUAGGUUGAACAUAUUUAGGGGUGGGCAAAAAAAGCUGAUUAAUCAAAAAUCGAAUCGAACCGUUCGGUUCGGUUCGAUUUCUUUACAGUUUUUUUACAUCUAAAAAACCAAAAUAGUAAUUUAGUAUAGUAGUAAAAUCAGUCGGUUCGGUUUUUAAUUUUUAAAAAAAAACUGAAAAACCGAACCGAUCACAAGAAAAAACCGAACGCAAAUUGAUUUUUACACAAUCCCUAAUCUAACACAUUCUUGAUUCUUCUCAUCUUCUGAUCUUCACAGACUUCACUCUUCAAAAGUGUCGUCCCCGCUGCUGCUGCUGCUCAUCCUUCACGAACCUUCACCGCUGGAAUCUCGUCCCCGCUGUAGCUGCUGCUGCUGCUGCUCAUCCUUCACGAAUCUGAUUUGCCACCGCUGCUCAUCGCCGACUCUCGUCCCCGCUGCCACUGUCACCUACUAUCAACUGUUGGUGCUGUCACGGUGCUCCCCUGCUGCCAUCUGACUGCUGUUGUGAGCUGCUGCUGGUAACUGCUGUUUUUGCAGAGUUAUUUGACUUGGUAAAUGGUAUAAUAUAAUCUGUGCUAGUUAUGAUUGCAUAUUAACAAAGUUAUUAAUGCUUGAUCAAUUGCGCAAAGUUUCGCAUAAUAAUAAUUAAUUCAUUAAUUAUUUGAUUUUAUUAAGCCAUUCAAUUGCCACGUGUAUUAUUGUUGAUGCUUCCUGGAUGCCCUGAAUCCUGAUGCAUGCACUUGUUCUUAACCAUUAUUUCAAGGAGCUGGCUAAGUUACGGAUUCUGUAACAUACAGAUCCAACUUAGCCAGCUCCUGAUUGGUUAGCUAGCUACCAAACAAAAACAAUUGCAUGCUUUUUCUCCAUAUGCAGAACAGGUGUGGUGCAUGCAUUGGGUGCGUAUGUUACAGAAUCUGUAAGGUAGACAUGUCCUUAUUUCAAUUGUUAUUUUUUAAAAUUUGAUACUGUACAAGUAAUUGUUCUGGCGGUGGUUAUCUUUAAAGGUGGAUGAGUCAUGAGUUUGCUUUUUUAUUUUUGUUGGUAAUUAAUUAUAAUUUAAUUUAACUCCAGUCGUAACAUCCAUGAAACUACCCAUCCAUUAUGUAACAACAUCACAAUAAUCAAGAUCCCUGUAUAACAAACAUCUCCAUUAACCCUUAAUUAUUGUGAGAUGUCAUUAGCAUAUAUAUUGAUUUUUUAUUUGUUAACUUUUUUAUGUUUGUGGUAGAUUUAUUAAUUUAAGGUUUUAAAUUUUAAAAAAACCCAAAAUAGGCUCAAUAGACCCAUAAUCAAAAUAACCGAACCGAAUCGAAUCGAAUUAUUUCAAUUAAUCGAGUAUUUGAUUAUUUCGGUAAUUUGAUUAAUCGCGAUUAUGAUUUUAAAAUAAUCAUAAUUGAACGAUUAUAAAAAAUUUAGUAAAAAACCGAACCGAACCGAACCGCGCCCACCCCUAAACAUAUUUAUUUAAUUAGGUUAAGUUUAAUUUAUCUCAACUCAUUCAAUAAUGGGUUGGGUAGUUUUCACAAACCCAAUCCAAUCUAACCCAACACAUGCCCACCCCUACCUUAACUUAGGCGGUGGAGGAGAUGCCAACGACGUCGUAAGCAGUGUUUUAAAAGCCUACCAACCAAAACGCUUCGUUGGUUUUCAGGGAUGGUUGAAUUAUUUUGGACCGUUUAAUCUUUUGGGCCCAAAAUUUGGGUCCAACUAACCCUGGCAUCCACUGUGAGUUAUUGGGCCCUUAUCCAACCCAAUGUUAAACAUUUUCACAUCUUCUUGAGGUUCCCCCCAGUCAAAUUGAGUCACACCAUGUGUCCCUGUUUAAAAUUAUGGUACAGUAGAAUUUUAAUAAAUUAAUACUCAAUAAAUCGAUAAUCUCGAUAUAAAUAAUAAUUUUAUCAAUCCCAAACCAAUGUGGUAAUUAAUAAUUUGAUAAAUUUAUUAUAUAAUAAAUUUUUUAAAAAAAAUUAUUUUUCUAUAAGACCCAACUAAUAUAAAAAUUAAUAAUGAAUUAAUUUAAAAAUAAAUACGUAUGAUAUGUUUAUGAUUUCUUUGUUAUAAUGACAUAAUGCUUUAAAUAUUUCAUUGGUUAUUGUUAUAUUCUAUGUGCUACAUUGGUUAUUGUUGUAUUCUAUAUGACAUGUUAAGAAAAAUAAGAGAGAGAUUAGUUAAUAUGUCACCUCCAAGUAGUCUUCUCUGAUGAGUUACUGAAUAAUUGCUAUCCAGCCAUGCAAUCUAGCGAAAAGAAUACCAUAUUAUUGAUUCUUUCAAUUAAGAUCAAAUCAAAGUCAUAUCAUAUAGUUUGAUAGAAUCACUGUAUUAUUUAAUUAUACUAUCAUACUUGAUAAAAGCUUAGAUUAUGAGCCUGAAUUUAUCUUUAAAUAUUAAAAUAUUAUUAAUUUAUCGAUAUAUUAAUAUUUACUAAAUUAACAAAAUUUUCAUGGUCUUAAGACUAUCAAUUUACGAGGUUAUAGUGUAUUUAUACUUUUCUCAUAUCAUAUCCCACAAAAUCUAAAAAAAGUAUCUUAAGAUUAAUUGUAGAAAUCGCACUAAAUUAUUUAUUAAUCACAUCAGUUGUCACAUAAAUUGAAAUUCAAGAGUUUGGACUCCGCAUAAGAGUUAAGACUUAAAUACUGAGACCCUAACAUAUUACUGGAAUGAAUUCUUAUCGAUAGACAUAUGAGUCAACAUAAUCUUAUCAAAUAGACAACUAGAAUGUUGAGGAAACGAAGUACAUAGAAAUCGAAAUGCGUAGUUAUAAUUAAUUAAACAGCCAUAACUUAGGGAACCAGCGAAUGUGUUGGAAGGCCGCGGGAGAUUAACAAAAGUUCGCUUCCUACACCGUGCUAGAAUAAACAUAGUCCUUUCCUUUUCCAAUGCACCAAACAUUAAGCAGUUAGCAAACGCUGCAUUGAAAGUGCAUAUACUUGUAUUUACUUGUAAAAGUUUUGCUCUUAUCAAUAACACCUAGAUUGCAUUGUGCACAUGAUACUCCCGUCUGUAAAUUAGCUGUAACGAAUUGGGACGAACUUAUGAGCCUUCAGCACUAGAAAAAGUUUAGAAUAUAUAAAAAAUACCUUGCUGAUAACUCUAUGAAAUGAGAGUUAUCAUGACACUAUUAGACUUAAAUCAAGAUUACUUAGAGAGUAAAUGAUAUUUUUUUAAUUGCAUUUUAGUUAUAUUUUGCAUGAAUAUCCAUUUUAGUUUAUUUUUAAUAAAUUGCAUUGUUUUAUAAUAAUUUGUGUGCCUAGAUCGUAUGCAUAAUUGUAGGUGAUCGGAAGCUCAAAUUUCAAGGGAGAAAUGCUGCUGCAAUAGGCUUGCAAAAAUAAGGAAAGAACAUGAUUAUAGAAGAAUUGAAAUAAGUAUGAAACAGUGCAUGUGCUAAAGCCAUUACUAUAGCAUUGUUGUUGUAGUAAUUCUGGACCAUUGAUAGAGAAGAUUUCACACAAGAUACUUAGAAGAUUGCGAUAUGAAGUUUCUUAAAAUGGAAGAUAUGUGCCCUAGACUUUUACUUGCCCUAAUUUUAAGAUAUAAAAGAGCACACACUCAAAGAAAAGAAGAAAGUCGUCACCCAAGGAGAAAAACCGCAAAAAAAACAAAAGAAAAACAGAAUUCAAGAGAGAGAUUAAAUGCUGCACCAGAGGAGAAAACACAGAGAUCCAUUGAAAAUCAGUCAUUCUUGUUAUUUUCUUGUUUUUAUUUAUUCAUGGGGAUGUAUUUAGUGGCCAAAAUUCUUUUAUUUAUUUUUCUUUCGCAAAUCAUGAAAUAAAUUUGAUUGUAGUUGAGUUAUAAAUGAUCUUAAUGGAUGUUUGACUGACAUAUUCGUGGUGCUUUGUAUUUGCUGCAGCAAUUUGUGUUAAUUGUAUUUAUUUUCUACAUCAUGUUGCUUUGCUGCUCAUUGCGGCGGUUGCUGUAAUUUAAAAUUGAAAUAAGGUUAUCAAUAGCAUUAAAUACCCACCACAUGAUUGAUGAUUUUCACCAUAAUUGGUAACCAAUAAUGAUUUUUGUAAUAGUAGUAUGGUACCCACUAGGGAUAGCAAUAAAAUUUGGAUCCAGCUUGCAUCCGCAAGGAUCCGAAAGAUCCGAAUCAGGAAAAAUUCGGAUCCGCAUGUUAAAAAAUGCGGAUCCAGAUGUAAGAAAUUAAAAUCUGUAUGGGUCCGGAUCCGGAUACAAGUGCAUCCGGAAAGCCGGAUAUCCAGAUCCGGUUAGUUUUUAUAUUAAAUUAAAAAAUAUAUAUUAACUUAACUUAAAAACAAAUUUAACCUAACUCUCACAUUCACACACACGCUCACAACACUUUACCAGCAGCCACAACCCACAAAUCCCUAACACCCAAAUCCCCCCCAAUUCCGUAGGAUGUUGCUAUUUGUCUCAUGGCCUCGCCUAAUCCUCGUGUCCAAGCCUCGAUCUGAGUCGGUUGCUGCCGCUGCACGCUGUUGUGCAAAUUUUAAUGUACUCGCAAGCGCACGAAUCUAUUGUAGUGUAGAUCAAUGGUGACGAGUGUCGAUCCCACGAGGAGGUGGAUUUUAAUUAUGUGUAGAAUUAAUUCUGUAAAUAGGUGGUUGGAAUUGUGGUGGAAGUGAUUUAAGUUAUCCUAAAAUUGGAAUUGAAAUUGCGAUAAUAAAUUCUAAAAUUGGAAUUGCAAUGGCGAGAAUAAGUUGAAGCGAAAUCUAUUGAAAUGACGUACUUGGGUAUCUGGAUCCGUAUCAACAUGCAUCAUGGGCUAAAUAAUUCGUAUUAAUGCCAAUUAAAUCAUGAGGGGGGAAUCCACACCUCAUGAACCACGCUCUAAUCAAUAUGGUGCUAAGGGCUUAUCGUGCCAAAUAAUAAUAACCUUAUACUAGAGAGCCGGUGUAACCAAGGCGGUAUCUAGACAAGAUCAGUAUUAUUUGUCGACGAUAAGUCAAAUCAUCCACAAAAACUAGAGGGGAAAAGAAAAUAAAUUUACCAAAUAAAGCCCAUGACACAUGUUGAGACUUCACCUUCAACCCAAGCUUGAAAAGAAAUUAGCUACUCAUAAUUGAACUAGGGGCAAAAUGGGAAUUUAUUAAAAUACAAAGAAAAUACAAGAUGGAGAGGGAAUUACAGAAAAUGGAUCCCAAAAAUGGAUUCAGAGAUAUCAAAUUAGGGGGGAGAGGCCCCCUUUUUAUAGAUACAUGGAGUAAAUCAUGGCCAUCGGAUUAAAAACAGUUUGGACGCUCAGGAUUGCGCCACGUCAUCAGUCAACAGUCCACGGUUUGACCACGCGGAUGAACAGUAACACGGUUUGACCCGGAUGAACAGUAACGCGGUUUGGUUGACAAUAAUCCUGUGUGAUGCAUGCACCGUACGCGAGAUUUUUCGUCCACUGAUAUGCUGCCACGUCACCAUCAACAGUACAUAAGAAUUUUAGUCCAACAGGAUCGUGACACCUCAUUAGUCAAUGCCACAUCAUCGGUCAAUGCCACGUCAUCGAUCAAUGCCACGUCAUCGAUCCGUCUAUGUGAACAGUGUCGUGAACAGUAACGUGAACAGUACCGUAUACGUGAAUAGUGCCAUUUUUCCUUUUAUGCUCCUCCUAAGGUUUUCGAUCGUCCUGAGUUCAAAAGUGAUGUCCGUUUUGCCGUCUGAUCUCUCCUUUAUUGUGAAAUGACUAUAAUGCCCCUAAAAUACAUAAAAUACUUAAUUAAAAUAACACACACGUAAUUACAUCACAAGAAGGUUAAAUACAUAAAAGUAAGGGUUGUUAGUAAGACUUGAAAUGUAAAAUGACGGUUUUCUCCUUUAUAAAUAUGCAUUUUCUAACACUCAACACACCCCCCAACCAGCUUAUUGCUAGUCCCUAGCAAAUAAAGCGAAAACAAAAUUCAAAUUCAAAAUGAUUUUUUUUUUUUUUUUUUUUAGAAACACUCGUGUUUAUUCAAUCAGAUUAAUGAUAGCAAUCAAAUAAAAGUAUAAGCAUUAUCUCCAGUCUAAAGCAAUAUCACACCCACAUCAACCAUCCACAUGAAUCGGCCCAGUAGACUUUGUUAUAGCUACUUUCAAGAAUGACAUGUCAAACCCCAAAAUCUCACUGGAAGUAGUGACACUCUCACAAAGAAAUUAAACCCAAAAAAUAGUCACUCCAAUGAAUGGUAAUUGAGAGAAAAUAAUGAAAAAGUGAUAUCACAUGCUCUCACCAAGAUGAAAUAAAUAUGCCAUCAGCUUAGAAAUAAUACAAUCUCAAGUCAAAUAAAAAAAUGUUAGUCAACCCACUUUAUUUAUCUUUUUUUUUUUUUUUAUAUAUUAUGCAUCACUACAUCUUUUUAGCCCAUAUAACUAGCUUCUACUUCAAACUAUAGUUCCCGAAAAUCAAGAAGGACUUUUAUUAGAACGUAACGUAGGCUAGGGAUAUGGCUAACAAAGAAAGGAAAUAAGGAAAACAAAGUGUAUGUUUGAGAAAAAUGCAGAAUUUUUUUUUUUUUUUUUUUUUUUUUUUUUGGAACUUGCAAGGUGGAUUUCACCUAUUAUUGUUAUUUUUAUUCUUUUGAAACAACAACUUUUGUUUUUUUUUUUUCUUUUUGCUUUUAUUUGGCAUAACUUCACUGAACAACAUAAUUAUUUACAUUUUCUCAAACAUAAAUAGGUGAUGGAACUUAAAAGACAUUGGGUAAUACUCAAAAUCGGAGUGGGUCAAGAUGAUAAGUUGACAAAGAAAAGGUUUUUUUUUUUUUUUUUUUUUUUUUUUUUUUUUUUUUAAAGGCUCAAAAGGGGUAACUAUGGAUAUUUAAUAAAAGGGAUGGCUAGAAAGGCUCAAACGGAUCAAAGAUGGCCUUUCCAUCGUCUUUUAGGGCUCUAAAUAAUUAUCCAUAUCUACUAGUUAGAUGGGCCUCCCAAUGUAGCAACACACAUUUUUUUCUUUUUUCUUUUUUUUUUCUUUUUUCUUUUUUUAAUUUUACCAUAUUUUUUUUUAAAGGGUUAACUUAAAAGAAAUCUAGAGAUCGUGUAUAAAAUAAUAAACUGCUAAGCUGUAUAGAGAAUGGGCAAAAGGGUUACUCUCCAAGAAAAUGAUAGGCCCAACAACUCACUUGGCACUUAUUUAUGACAUGUUCAUUCCUUCAAGCAACUCAUAUUUGUCUCCGACAUCAACAUGUAAAGUAGCAAACAUAGCGUAACAUCACUUAAGACCAAAGAUAAUACAAAUACUAAAAUUUGAAAUUAAUCAUGUCAUCCAAUGUUAAAACAAAUAACACAAAUUUUUUUUUUUUUUUUAAACAACAUUCUACCCCCCAACCUAUUCUAAACAUGAAAGGAAAAUAUGCAUGCAGAAAUGUGAAAAUGAUGUAGAAAAAUUAAUUAGAAAAAGAAUUAUUUUUUUUUUUAAAACUAAAAAGAUGCGUUUCUAGAGGCACUACACUCCAUAUUCAGCCAUCUUCGACUCAAAAUUUGAAACUACAUAUUUAUAAAGGAGAAAGAGGAAGAAAACAUGUUUUUUUUUUUUUUUUUUUUUUUUUUAAACGAUGAAGAUGCGUUUCUAGAGUAACUACACUCCAUAUUCAGCCAUCUUCAACAUAAAAUGUUAGCAACAGUUAGUUUCUACAACAAAAAAUUAGUAAAAACUUAACCAAGAUUCCACAAUUGUCGACUAUUCCCUCCCCCCAACCAGAACGAAACAUUGUCCUCAAUGUUUUAAAGGAAAGAAGUAGAGUUUAGAAGACAUCACCUGGGUGGUGCAACACAGAAGAAAAUAUUUACAGGCGGAGAGUUAAAUCUAAUUUGUACUUCUUACUGCGGCUACUGUUACCAUCAUUAUUUGGUCGCUCCAACACAAAGGUCCAGGGGUCUGGCUCCGGUUUAUAAGCUUGUAACAUAUCAAGUAGCUCAUUAGCAGUGUGAGCACAAAUGAAGAGUUUUUUCACAUUAGAAGGAAUGAAAUAGUUUUUUAUUGCAUGGUUAAGAAAUGCGAUAAAGCCAUCAUAAAAGUUAUUGACAUUUAACAAACCGAUGGGUUUCUGGUGGAUGUGCAGAUGGGCCCAAGAUGCUAGUGUCAUAAGUGCCUCUAGUGUUGCAAGAUCUCCUGGAAGGAAAAUAAAAGCAUCAGCAUGAUUAAGCAUUUCAGUUAUUCUUUCUUGCAUACCUGAGACGACUAACUCUUCUCCAGUUGAUGAGUCAGACGAACCGCCCAAUGGUUUUAGGACUCUUGGGAUGAUGCCUAACACUUGACUUCCUCUGAUAAAAGCUGCUUCUGAGACCAUUUUUGAUAACCCUCGGUUACCUCCUCCAUACACCAAGUGUAAUUUUCUCUCUGCUAUGCUUCGACCAAGAUCUAUGGCUGCCUCAACGAACUCUUUAUGUUUGCCAUAGGUAAAUCCAGAAAGCACACAAAUGUUCUUGAAUUGUCUAUUUGGAGUAGCUGUCAUUGUGAUACUUCUCAAAAAAAAUAAUUUGUGAGUGCUUGACAAAAGAUAUCACAUUUAAGAGUCUUGGUGAUAGUGGGUCAUGGUUGUGUAUGAGGUAAUGUGUCAGUGUCAAAUAACGCGUAAAGCACGUGGCUCGCAAGUCAAAAAGAAAACAGUAAAAAAAGGAAAAAGCCAACAGUAAUAAAAUUAUUAAAGACAAUAAUGCAAAAAUAAGACAAUAGUGAAAUAAAAUAACAAUAAAGUAAAAGGAUAUUUACAGGUAGUUGCGACUGUGGCUCACAUCUUCCUCUGGUUUUACGUCCAGAAACGGCUUGAACGCCCUCUAUGGGUCGAGGAUCGGCUUCCCAUCCAGUUUUCUUAUAAACUGACAAACAGGGUCGUUUAUAGUCAGAUUCCCGAGACUAUAUCGUGUAUGCUCUUUCUGGAAUAAUGGCCACAACUGGAGAAUCGCUCCUUGCACAUAUCCACUGGGAUGCGUUUCAAGAGACAAAAGAAUAUCAUCCAAUGACUCCUUAUUCAAGCCAUCCCUAAUGAAUUGAAUCUUAUCUUCCCUGUUAUCAGACACCAUUCCUAAAGAACAUAGGUUUCUAUCGCAACUCAUUCUGGCACACUUAUGACAAGCAACAGAAAUUCUUCGAGCUCGUCGUUUUCUUGCAUAAUUUCCUUUACCACAACCAGGCAUGAAUGCAAUAAAUUUUGGAGGUAACUCACCUGCCGAUCGUACUUUAGCCUCGAUUAACCAACGGAUGUCAGCAGGUAUGUUAUUCUUCAUGAGCAAUCGCAUGCGUUCGGACCGGGCUUUAUAGAUUGUAAGGAGGGCAUUCUGAGGAAGUGAAGGGAAUCGCUUGUGAAGCUUUGCUAAAAUCUCGUUUCUAUCCAUACCUUCGCCUCAGAAUAUCAGUUAUUAUGGGAAACUGAAGUUAACCGACUUGAUUGUCACGGAGUACCGUUAUCCGCCACUUCACCGGGGUAACAAACUAAAGCACACAAACAGAAAAACAAAUUAAAACACACAAAGAAAAUUAAAAUCGUCCUCUUAUUGAAUUUACCUCAAGCUCCAACUGGAUGUCGUAAACACUUCUCUCAAUGUCUCUGAGUUGGCGUUCUAAACCCUCAACAUAGGCUACUAACUCUGGUGGUUGUAGAGCCCAAAUGCGUUGUGUUUUACAAAAUAGAAUCUGCCUUUUGAGAUGAGUUUUGACACGUUGAAGUGGUUUAAGAAUGUUCAGGAGGAACGGUCUAAGUAUGAGACUCAUGAUUAAAAAUGAUAAGAGAAAACUUAAUUGUUAAACAAACACACUUAUGCAAAAAUAAUUUCAAAUAGCAAAAGAAUAAUAAAAAGAAAGAAAGAAAAAUCAAAUCAAUAAAAAGAGAAAAAAAAAAUUAAUUCAAAUCUGGUGGGUCACUCAAAUUUAUUUCGGUGUCUUCUUCAUGUGGUUGGUACUCUAGAUAUGGCUUUAAUCUUUGACCAUUAACUUUAAACGUGACACCGUUCUUUGGGUCUUUAAUUUCAAUUGCCCCAUGUGGAAAAACAGUAUGAACAAUAAAGGGACCAGACCAUCGAGAGCGUAACUUACCUGGGAAUAAGUGCAAGCGAGAAUUGAAUAAAAGUACUUUCUGACCUGGAGUGAAAGAUUUUCUCAUAACGUGCUUGUCGUGGAAGACUUUCAUCCGCUGCUUGUAAAUUUUGGCAUUUUCAUAUGCAUCAUUGCGAAUUUCUUCAAGUUCUGCCAGUUGUAAUCUUCUCUCUGAGCUGGCUUGCUGCAUGUCAAAGUUGAAUUUCUUGAUGGCCCAAUAUGCACGAUGCUCGAGUUCCACAGGUAGGUGGCAAGCUUUUCCAUACACUAGCCUGUAGGGUGACAUCCCAAUCGGGGUCUUGAAAGCCGUUCUAUAUGCCCAUAAUGCAUCAUCAAGUCGUAAUGACCAAUCUUUCCUGUCUGGCCUCACCGUUUUUUCUAAUAUGUGCUUGAUUUCUCGAUUGGAGAUCUCAACUUGGCCACUGGUUUGCGGAUGAUACGGGGUCGCCACUUUGUGUGUGAUUGAAUACUUUGUCAAAAGAGCUUUGAAUGCUUUGUUACAAAAGUGGGCACCACCAUCACUGAUUAUCGCUCGAGGGAAUCCAAAGCGUGAAACAAUAUUGCUUUUCAAAAAUCCUAUCACCACCUUGUGAUCAUUGGUUCUACAUGGAAUUGCUUCUACCCAUUUUGAGACGUAGUCAACAGCAACCAAUAUGAAUUGAUGGCCAAAAGAAGGGGGAAAGGGUCCCAUGAAGUCGAUACCCCAUACGUCAAAAAUCUCAACCACUAAAAUUGGAUUUAGUGGCAUCAUGUUCCUUCGUGUAAUGCUCCCCAUUCGUUGACACCUAUCACAUGAAGAACAGAAAGUGUAAGCGUCUCGAAAUAUAGUUGGCCAAUAGAAACCACAUUGUAAAACUUUAGUCGCUGUUUUCUUAGCACUGAAAUGGCCUCCACAAGCUUGUUCAUGGCAGAAUGAAAGAAUAUUCUGAAUUUCAUUUUCAGGGACACAUCGUCUAACAAUUUGGUCUGCACAAUACUUGAACAAAUAUGGGUCAUCCCAAAAGAAAUUCUUUAUUUCCGCAAAGAAUUUAGCCUUGUCUUGCUUGGUCCAAUGCUCUGGAAGUUUACCUGUAACAAGAUAAUUAACUAUAUCAGCAUACCAAGGUAAUACUUCCACAUGCAUCAAUUGUUCAUCUGGGAAUGACUCAUUUAAUAUUAAUGGCUCUGUAAUUGUGUCAAAAUGGAGACGAGAGAGGUGGUCCGCCACAACAUUUUCUGUGCCUUUCUUAUCCUUGAAUUCCAAGUCGAAUUCCUGCAAAAGUAACACCCAACGAAUUAGUCUAGCUUUUGCAUCUUUCUUUGUGAGAAGAUAUUUAAGAGCAGCAUGAUCUGUGAAUAUAAUUAUUUUACAACCAAUGAGAUAAGAUCGAAAUUUUUCCAAUGCAAACACUACUGCUAGCAUUUCUUUUUCAGUAGUUGAAUAGUUCAACUGUGCAUCAUUUAAUGUCAUACUAGCAUAGUAAAUAACAUGGGGAAUUCGAUCAACUCUUUGUCCUAAUACUGCUCCUACGGCAUAAUCAGAUGCAUCACACAUGAGCUCAAAUGGUAAGCUCCAGUUUGGGGCCUGAAUGAUGGGUGAUGAUGUCAACAACUGCUUUAAUUUUUCAAACGCCAUGAGACAUGAAUCAUUAAAGAUAAAAGGUACAUCCUUAGCAAGUAAAUUGCAUAAGGGUCUAGAAACUUUGCUAAAAUCUUUAAUGAAACAUCUAUAAAAACCAGCAUGUCCAAGGAAAGAUCUUACUUCUCUGACUGUUUUAGGUGGAGGAAGAUUAGAAAUGAGAUCCACCUUGGCUUUGUCAACCUCAAUACCUUUGCUCGAAAUGAUAUGACCGAGAACAAUACCUUGUUUUACCAUAAAAUGACACUUCUCCCAAUUCAAGACUAAGUUCUUCUCGGUACAUCUCUGCAGAACUAGCGUUAGAUGAUGUAAACAUUGAUCAAACGAGUCACCAAAGACAGAAAAGUCAUCCAUAAAGACUUCAAGGAAUCGUUCAACCAUAUCAGAAAAAAUGCUCAACAUGCAUCGUUGAAAUGUAGCAGGUGCAUUACAUAAUCCAAAUGGCAUUCUCCUAUAUGCAAAUGUGCCAAAAGGGCAAGUGAAAGUGGUCUUCUCUUGAUCUUUUGGUGCUAUGGGAAUCUGAUUAUAUCCUGAGUAGCCAUCUAGAAAGCAAUAAAAUUCGUGGCCUGCUAAUCUAUCAAGCAUUUGAUCGAUAAAUGGUAAAGGAAAAUGGUCUUUACGUGUGACAGAAUUCAACUUUCUAUAAUCAAUGCAUACACGCCAUCCUGUAGUUACUCUAGUUGGUAUCAAUUCAUUAUCAGCAUUGGUAACUACUGUGACUCCUGACUUUUUGGGGACAACUUGUACAGGACUGACUCAUGAACUAUCAGAAAUUGGGUAAAUAAUACCUGCGUCUAAUAGCUUAAGGACUUCUGUUCUAACAACUUCUUUCAUAUUAGGAUUUAACCGACGUUGCAUUUCCCUAGUAGUUUUAGCAUUUUCAUCAAGGUGAAUGUAAUGCAUGCAGUCUACUGGGUUUAUACCUUUAAUAUCUGCUAUGGUCCAUCCUAAUGCUCCUUUGUGCUCUUUUAAAACAUCCAACAACUUACCUUUUUGUUCGUCGUUUAGGGAUGAUGAGAUGAUUACCGGUAGAGUGCUUUCUUCUCCCAAAAACGCAUAUUCCAAUGUGUUGGGUAAUGGUUUGAGCUCGAGUUUCGGUGGUGAUUCUGAUGAUGGAAUGAGUUUCUUCUCUGAUGGUGCUAGUUGUUCAACUCUUGACUUCCAUUUAUUAGUGUCCAUGGAUGGUGCUGAGUCAAGUAGGGCGUUGACCUCUUCGACCGAUCUGUCAAUAUCAAAAUCCAAACCAAAGUGAGUUAAACAUGUUUGUAAAGGAUCAUCACUAAGGUUUGAAAGAAAAGUAUUAUCAACUAUUGUUUCUAUUAAAUCCACAUCAACAAUUCCAUCAUCUGCACUGUGAGGUUGUUUGGCAAUGUUGAAGAUGUUUAGCUCCAUAGUCAUGUUGCCAAAGGACAACUGCAUAUUUCCAGUCCUGCAUUGAAUGUGAGCAUCCGCAGUUGCCAAGAAAGGUCGGCCUAGAAUAAUGGGGAUGUGCUUCCUUGAGUCCUGUAUUGGUUGAGUGUCAAUUACAAUGAAAUCAACAGGAAAAUAAAACUUGUCUACCUGGAUAAGCACGUCCUCCACAAUACCACGAGGUAUUUUUGUGGACCGAUCUGCAAGUUGUAACACCACUAGAGUUGGGUGUAAUUCUCCCAGUCCAAGUUUCACGAAUACAGAGUAAGGCAACAAAUUUACACUAGCUCCUAAAUCCAACAAAGCAUUCUCAAUUGUGUGGUUCCCUAUACUACAUGAGAUAGUGGGGGAGCCUGGGUCUUUGCAUUUUAAAGGAAUUUUAUGUUGGAGUAUAGAACUAACGUUUUCUGUUAAAAAUGCCUUCUUUUGAACAUGCAUAUUUCUCUUUUUAGUACAAAGGUCUUUAAGAAACUUGGCAUAAGAUGGAACUUGUUUAAUAGCAUCAAGUAAAGGGAUGUUAACACUUACCUGUUUGAAGAUUUCGAGAAUCUCACCUGUGGAUUUUCCCUUCUUUCCUUUCACUAACCUCUGAGGAAAUGGAGCUUUGGGAACGUAUUCUCGUAGGUUGGUUUCUUCUUUUUCCUCCGGUGGUGAGUCCUCAGCAUUUACAGGUACAAUUUGAUUUUCUUUUGUCACCGGCAUCUCCACUUUGUUGUCGACUUCCUUUCCUUUUCGCAAGGUCAUGACUGCUUUGACCUCUCCAUACUGUUGUGGUGAACUGGUACUUGCUUCAUGCACUCCUUUAGGAUUAGGCACUGGUUGACUUGGAAACUUGCCUUUCUCAACAGUCAUUGCCAAGGUCUGAACUGAAGAAGCAAGUUGUCCCACCAUCUUCUCGAGGCUUGAAACUGAUUGAGCUUGUGAGUUAAAGCCUGCUCUCAACUCAUUUCGUAGUCCAUCAAUGGUGCGGUUCUGUUGCUCAAUCGUAGAGUGAGUAGCAUUCUUGAAAUUCUGGAAUGAAUCCUCCCAUGGUCUGGGUUGAGAGUAGUUUUGGUUUUGAUUGAAUGGUCUAAAUGGGGGCUGAGAGGCUUGAGGAUUUUGAGGAAUUGGUUGCAUUGGUGGAGCUGGAGCUGCUGGUCCAUUCUGUUGGAAUCCUUGGGACCAUGAAAAAUUGGGGUGGUCUCUCCAUCCAGGAUUAUAUGUGUUGGAGUAUGGGUUGUAAUUUGAUGGCUUUCUCAUUACACCUAUGGCAUUGGCUUGAUCUGGGUAUGAGUCAUGGUCAUGUGGUUCUGUUGAUUUAGCAGUCGAUAACGAUGCUAUUUGUCGAGCAAGACCUUCAACCAUCUCCUUGACUUCUUUGAUUCCCGAAGUUGACUCGCCAAUUUGAACCUCAUUUACUCCCUUAAUUCUUCUAGUAUUCCUGAGUGAUCGACUCCGUUGUUGGGAAUUAUCCGCUUGUCGCUGGAAGAAUUCCCAAAUCUCUGUUGCGCUUUUUGACAUUAGCUCUCCUCCACUUGUUGCCAUUAGCCAUUCUUGCACAUUUGGUAGUAAUCCCUCCAAAAAGUAUUGGCAUUGGUGCCAUUUCUCGUACCCAUGAUGUGGACACUUCAAGAGUAGCCCAUUGAAUCGCUCCCACGUUUCGAAAAACUGCUCGUCCUCUCUUUGUGUAAACUCUGAAAUUUCCCUGCGAAUAGAAUUGGUUUUAUGCACUGGGAAAUAUUUAUUUAGAAAUUUUGUAACCAUUUGUUCCCAUGAUGCAAUGCUAUUAGCAGGCAAAGUAUUUAACCAUGAACGAGCUCUAUCCUUUAAAGAAAAUGGGAAUAAUCUGAGUUUAACAUCAUCGUCUGAAAAAUUUUCAUAUUUAAAAGUUUGACAAAUGGUAUGAAAAUCAUUCAGAUGAUUAUAUGGGUCCUCAUUUUCUAAGCCAUAGAAUGUGGGGAGACAAUUUAGCACACUAGGUUUUAGUUCAAAGCUCCUAGCAGCUACAUUUGGGUAUCUUAUGCAUGAUGUGCUCAAAUUAGCUAAGGGACUAAAAUAGUCCUUAAAUGGCCUCUCCUGUGGUGCUUGUAAAUCCAUUUCAAAUUUAUUUUUAUCGUUCUUGUGUGUGCGAAGUGUUUUUUCUAAUUCAAGGUCUAUAGGUUCAAGAUUAGGUAAUAAUGACCUACGACCAUGCAUGCAAAAUAAAAUAAAAAUAAAAAUAAAGAUGCAAACAAAACAAAAAAUAAAGAUGGGAACAAAACAAAUAAAAAUAAAGAAGAGGGAGAAAUUAUGAUACUAACCUUAUUGCGCUAUUACAACCUUUCUAUAAAAAUACACAAAAACAAAUACGUGAAAUAAAUUAACUAAAAAUUAAAUUAAUAAAAUAAACAAAAAUUACAAAGAAAAAAUAAAUUGAAAAUUAAAUUACAGAAUUUUAAAGAAGAGAAAAAGAAAAGAAAUACUAACCUUUAAAUGUAGAUUUACUCUUUUUUUUUUCUUUUUUUUUUUUCAAUAAGAAAAAAAAAUACAAGAAAACAAAUAAAAGAAAUUAUUCACAAAAAUUAAUUCUAUGAAUUAAAAUUACUUACCUCCCCGGCAACGGCGCCAAAAACUUGUUGUGCAAAUUUUAAUGUACUCGCAAGCGCACGAAUCUAUUGUAGUGUAGAUCAAUGGUGACGAGUGUCGAUCCCAGGAGGAGGUGGAUUUUAAUUAUGUGUAGAAUUAAUUCUGUAAAUAGGUGGUUGGAAUUGUGGUGGAAGUGAUUUAAGUUAUCCUAAAAUUGGAAUUGAAAUUGCGAUAAUAAAUUCUAAAAUUGGAAUUGCAAUGGCGAGAAUAAGUUGAAGCGAAAUCUAUUGAAAUGACGUACUUGGGUAUCUGGAUCCGUAUCAACAUGCAUCAUGGGCUAAAUAAUUCGUAUUAAUGCCAAUUAAAUCAUGAGGGGGGAAUCCACACCUCAUGAACCACGCUCUAAUCAAUAUGGUGCUAAGGGCUUAUCGUGCCAAAUAAUAAUAACCUUAUACUAGAGAGCCGGUGUAACCAAGGCGGUAUCUAGACAAGAUCAGUAUUAUUUGUCGACGAUAAGUCAAAUCAUCCACAAAAACUAGAGGGGAAAAGAAAAUAAAUUUACCAAAUAAAGCCCAUGACACAUGUUGAGACUUCACCUUCAACCCAAGCUUGAAAAGAAAUUAGCUACUCAUAAUUGAACUAGGGGCAAAAUGGGAAUUUAUUAAAAUACAAAGAAAAUACAAGAUGGAGAGGGAAUUACAGAAAAUGGAUCCCAAAAAUGGAUUCAGAGAUAUCAAAUUAGGGGGGAGAGGCCCCCUUUUUAUAGAUACAUGGAGUAAAUCAUGGCCAUCGGAUUAAAAACAGUUUGGACGCUCAGGAUUGCGCCACGUCAUCAGUCAACAGUCCACGGUUUGACCACGCGGAUGAACAGUAACACGGUUUGACCCGGAUGAACAGUAACGCGGUUUGGUUGACAAUAAUCCUGUGUGAUGCAUGCACCGUACGCGAGAUUUUUCGUCCACUGAUAUGCUGCCACGUCACCAUCAACAGUACAUAAGAAUUUUAGUCCAACAGGAUCGUGACACCUCAUUAGUCAAUGCCACAUCAUCGGUCAAUGCCACGUCAUCGAUCAAUGCCACGUCAUCGAUCCGUCUAUGUGAACAGUGUCGUGAACAGUAACGUGAACAGUACCGUAUACGUGAAUAGUGCCAUUUUUCCUUUUAUGCUCCUCCUAAGGUUUUCGACCGUCCUGAGUUCAAAAGUGAUGUCCGUUUUGCCGUCUGAUCUCUCCUUUAUUGUGAAAUGACUAUAAUGCCCCUAAAAUACAUAAAAUACUUAAUUAAAAUAACACACACGUAAUUACAUCACAAGAAGGUUAAAUACAUAAAAGUAAGGGUUGUUAGUAAGACUUGAAAUGUAAAAUGACGGUUUUCUCCUUUAUAAAUAUGUAUUUUCUAACACUCAACACACGCCUCGAUCUGAGUUAGUUGCUGCCACACCUCGCCUCGCCGCCGUCGAAUCCUUGCAAUCGAAGAAGCCUCGUUUGAGCACUUUAAUUAAAAUGGUCUUGGCAAGCCUUGUUGAAUCCUUUGGCCUUUGUUGAUUCAAUUUAGUUUAAUUUUGAAUAAAUUUCUUUGCUGAUUCGUUUCAUCCCUUUAAUUAAAUGCAUUAAUUUUCAAUAUAAUGUAAAUAUUUAAUAGGUUUUGGGAUUAGGUUUUAAUUUGAAAAAUUGUUGAAUUUUUAAAUUAUAUUUUAAAUUUUUGCGGAUCCAGAUAUUCGGGAUAUCCGCCCGCAAUACGAACGGAUAUUACUCACAUCCGUAUCCGUAAAAAAUUUACAGAUGCAUAUCUGAAUCCGAAUAUAAAAAUAUCAAUCUAAAUCCAAAUUUUACCACCCCUAAUUCUCACUUCCCAUGCAAUAAUACAUUGGCGAUUGAUGCUAUAAAGUAUGGGGGUAUGAAACCCAUCCAAUUCAUUCAUUCACGUGUCCUGCAUUUAUUAUCUCCACCUCACCUUCUUCAACAUUUAUUGCCACCAUCAAAUUCCACAAUGUUCGCCCUUGAAAGUUUUUACUUUUUAUUAUUCGUGUUAAAGAGGUUGAUCUGCUUGGGCCUCUUGGCCCUAGCUAACUAUUCCUACGAUACAAUAUUUCUUUGGAUAUGAACAUAUAUGUCUUGCCGAGAGUAUACAUAAAGCUUAUAUUUAUUUUUACUAUCGUUCAAUAAAAUCAUGCUAUUUAUACAAUCAUCAAAAAAACAAUAUGUAAUUUUUUUAGGAGAAAUUUUUAUUGAAGUAAUUUUGGGACAAGAACGUUUCGGUUCAGUAGUUUCCAAUGUUAUUUUUCAAGUACGGAUGUAACUCAUCCAAUUACAUCAAAUAGGUCCAUAAUUCCUCCCAAGUUUUGUUUUGUUCUUCUUCUUUUAAUAUCACAUUACCACAAUCUCUUAAUCAAUUCUAUAAUGGCAAAAUUUAAAUAUUUAGUUUGGAUUUAAAAUAAAUGGAACCUAUUUUUGAAUGAUUAAAAGAAAAUUAACCUCACAAAUACACAUAAGUAAACUCAAACUUUGUGGAAAGAGAAUUGAUUUACUAUUAGGUUAUUGGAUGGUUCUCUUAACCCUUAAUUUUUUAAGAAAAAAAAAGGAAAUGAAGGCCCUAACCCCAUUUGAGAAGUAUCUAAAUGCUCUUUAUUCUGUAAUAGUUUUGGCAUAGUCUUACAUUCUCAAUAUUCAUUCAAAUGGAGAAGUUAGUGGACUAAUUUGAAAAAAAAAAUUAAAGAUCUAAUGUUAUUAACCGUUUUCUAAUCUUCUAUUAAGAAAUUUUUUGCUGGAAUAUGGAAACCUAUAAGCAAUUGGGAAUGUAUUGACCGCAAUUUGCAAAACUCGUUGACUCUGGGAUGAUCUCUCCACGUACGCGUGAGUGCGUGUCGGUAUAAAUAUGAAGGACUUAUCACAUAGCCCACAUGGACGACCCACCCCCGACAAUCAGGUUACAUGCCUCUUUCGUCAUAAAAGAUUGUCAAUUCUUCAUUAAGACUAUUUUUUUUUCUUUUAACACCUAUAAAAGUAUUUAAACAUAUCUAGCUAAUUUUUAUGUUGACACAUUUAUUAACAACAUUGUUAGUACCAAAAUUGACAUUAGCUAAAUAAGACUAUUUUUUUUCCAAACAUCCUUAAAAAUACUUAUAAAACAUUUAGGCUUUAGCUAAUUCCUAUGUUGACACAUUUAUUAAUCUACAAAAAUGCCUUCAUUUAGAGUAGUUGAGAAAACUAUUAUGAUUUUUUGUUUUAGUUUUCUAAAUCAAAUCCAUUUUUCUCCAGUUUUGUUUUCUCUAGUAGCCAUUUGCCCAUACUUAUGUUUUGGCCCCACCCCCCUCCCCCCGGCCGCGGAAAAAAAAGCCAACAACACAAUUCUUCUAACGAUCGAUUGAAUUUUUUUUUAUUUUGCCCCUUAAUUUCCUUUUUUUUUUUUUAAUUGCACCAUGCUAUUUUCUUGCACUGAUAUUGUUGCUUCUUUUUUAUAUUCAUUUUCUUUUAUUUCUACUUUAACUGCAAAACUACUUUUUUUUGGCGAAUAAUUAAUUUGUUCAAUUUUUUUCUAUUGUAAGGAAAAAUGUGGCAAGUGAAAUAAUGAGAGCAUGAAAGGAUGUGAGCAUGAGAACAUUUAAGCAUGUGAGCAUGUAAGCAUGAGGGCACGUGAGCAUGUGAGCAUAUGAGUAUGAGAGUAUGUGAGCAUGAGAUAAUGAGAGCAUCAAGCAUGUAAGCAUGACAACAGAUGAGCAUGCGAGCAUGUGAGCAUGCUCGCAUGAGAGCAUGCUAGUUCAGUAGAAAAUUUAAUAAGUCAAUUAAACAUAGCUAUAUACAAGCAUGAGAUAAUGAAAACAUGUUAGCAUGAGAGCAUGCAAGCUCAGUAGGAAACUAAUAAAUCAAUUAAGCAUGUUACAUGAAAGCAUGAGACCAUGAGAGCACAUGACCAUGAGAGCAUGUGAGCAUGAAAGCAUGUGACCAUGGGACCAUGAGAGCACGCGAGCAUGUACCGGAGCAUGAGAGCAUACAAGCUCAGUAGAAAACUUAAUAAGUCAAUUAAGCACAACUACACUCAGUAGGAAGUUUAAUAAGUCAAUUAAACACAACUACACUUAGUAAGAAACUUAAUAAGUCAAUUAAACACAGUUACAUAAGAGCAUACAAGCUCAAUAAGAAGCUUAAUAAGUUAAUUAAGCUCAGUUAAAUGAGAGCAUAAAGUCAAAUGAGCACAACUGUUAGAGAGCAUGAUUGCAACAUAGCAUUGUGAUAACACUUAAUAAGUCAAAAAAGUAUGAUUGCGGGAGAUUGUUGUUGUAGGCGAGCAUAAUAGCACAAAAGCGCUACCAUGGGAGAUGAGUUUAACUAAAAAAGCCCAGCUGCUGAAUCUAAUAACUAGGCAACAAUAGUUGGAAACAUUAUCAAAGCCUAGUAAAAGAAAUUAGAAGCUCUUGAAGCACAAAGCGAGAUAAAAAAGGAGAUUAAAUGUUGGAGAUAAACAUUGAUAAAAGAUAAAACUCAAUCUAAGAAGGAGAUAAAUAUUGAUAUUAGAUAAAAGUCUAAGUGAUAAAGAUGAUCAACACGAGGAAUUAUCGAGGAAUCGGGAUAUAAAUUUUAUUAUAAAUAGAGAAUCCCUGAUGGAUAGAGGUAUAAGAGUAAAUAGUUAGACCCAAAAAAGAAAAAGAGCUUCAUUGUAAUUCUUAUUUAAUAGUGAACAUUACUCUUUCUAUACCCAUGGAUAUAGCUAAGUGUUAAAUCACGUAAAUUCUUUAUUUUAUUUUUUCUUAUAUCAUCACAUUAUUCUCUAGUUGAUUAGAAAUUAGCGUCAACAUUUAAAAAAAAAAAUGCAAUGCCCUUAAUUGUAAAUCACAUUUGGGUAUUUUGUAAUUAAAAUUUUGAUAAAAUAUUAGUUUGCAGAGUAUUUUGUAGGGUGCAAUUACUCUCAUCCAAUUUUUUAAUUAUCUAAUUAUUUACUAAUUUGAAAUAGUCCAGAUUUAUUGAAAUGUUUUAUUAUUUAUAAUUUCAGUACACAACAAGGGCUGCAAUGUUAAUAACCAAUUUCACGCAUCCACCUACUAAAACUACUGUUCCAUAAAAUCUAAUGGUGACAACAUAAACACCAAAAAAAAAUAAAAUUGGGGGUAUUAUACAACAAUUGUAGGGUAAUCAGACCGGUUUAAUAGUCAUAAAUACUUAUGUAAUUCCACAAGCUCUUUUUAAAUUUUUCGCUAAUUUAAUUAUUUUUUAGUAGAGCUUUUGAAUAUUAAAUAAGCUAUAUUGCGCUUAAAUUUUAGGUUUUUGAGAAUAGAUGUUAAAUUUUAUUUUUAAAUUAUAUGUCAUAUAGUUCAGCCUCUUUUUUAAAAUGUUAAAAUACCUAAAAUGUCAUUUACUUAUUUGUCAAACAUAUUUCAUUCCUUUCAUAACAUAUUUUUAAAAAAGCUUACCAAUUAAAAUAAUUUUAUGAUUAAUACUACCGAUCGUAAUAUGUUUCUAAUUGAUAAUUUUACCCUUUAUAUCCAAUGAAAUUGUUGUUUUGGUUUUACUCUACCCCAAUUACAUCUACAUGAUGUUUGCGAUCAAUUAACAGUUAACUAAUCAUUAUAAUUAAAUUUAUAAUUAUUUAGUAGUAAAGUGUUAUAGUACAGUCAUUAGUGCACUUAGGGUGCGUUUGGUAUACGUAUUGUAUUAUGUUGUAUUGCAUUAUUUUAAUGCUGGUGUAUUGUAUUAUGCUGUAUUGCAUUAGCAUUGUAUUAUAAUAAUACUGUACAAUGUUUGGUACUACACUGUACUGUAAUAAUUUUUUAUUAAUUUAAAUUAAAUUAAAUAUUAUAUUAAUAUAUUUAAAUUGUAUUAAUAUUUUAUAUUAUUAUUUAUAUUAUUAUUAAUUUUAAAUUAAUAUUAUUCAUAUUUAAAUAUUUAUUAUUAGUCAUAAUAAAUUGUAAAUUUAUUAAUAAAUUAAAAUGUAAAAAUAAAAAAUAGAAUAUAAUAUUAUUGAACAAUAAAUCAUUUAUUUAUAUUAAUAAUUAUAAUGUAAAAAAUAAAAAAUAUUAAAUAAUAUAAUAUUAAAUUAAAAAAUAAUAUUUAUUAUUAUUAUUAUUAUUAUUAUUAUUAUUAUUAUAAUAAAAUUAAAGUAAAAGCAAAAGUUAGCAAAAGCUGGAAAGUUGGAAACGAAAAGGAAAAAAAAAAGGAAAGAGCAAACGAAAAGGAAACAAAUAUUAAAUAAUAUAAUAUUAAAUUAAAAAAUAAUAUUUAUUAUUAUUAUUAUUAUUAUAAAAUUAAAGUAAAAGCAAAAGUUAGCAAAAGUUGGAAAGUUGGAAACGAAAAGGAAAAAAUAAAAAAAGGAAAGAGCAAGCGGCAGUUUGCCGCAUUAGAUUGGCCCAUUAUGCAGUGUUUCUGUAGCUUUUAACUUACCAAAUAUGGGCUUGUAUAAAGCUAAUGCAAUGAGGAGUUAUAAUACAGCAACCAAACAUGCCCUUAAGCAGUAAAAAGAUAACCUAAUCAGUAAAAAGAUAAUAACUCAAAUAAAAAUAUUUGAACACAAUUAAGAUAUAUAUAUUUGGGGAUAAUUAAUUGAUGAGGGAAAAUGCUUGCAGGAGGGGCAAGUGGAGUUGGUUUGGAGACAGCAAGGGUCUUGGCUCUACGUAAAGCUCAUGUUAUUAUUGCUGCAAGAAACAUGGCAGCUGCAAAUGUAUUCUAAAAGAAGAUGACACUGCUCGUGUUGAUAUUCUGAAACUUGAUCUUUCCUCUAUUGCUUCUAUUAAAGAUUUUGCUCAAAACUUCAUUGCUCUUAAUCUUCCCCUUAACAUCUUAAUGUAAUUUUACUCUCCCCUCUUUCUCGAAAUAUUACAUAACUAUCUACUGAUGUUUCCGAGAAACAAUAAAAGCAUACUAUAACAUGCAAAAAUUAAUUUAAUGCAGAAACAAUGCUGGAAUCAUGUUCUGUCCCUACCAGAUUUCUGAAGAUGGAAUAGAGAUGCAAUUUGCAACA
rnacentral:lncRNA from 1 species